CUUAUAUCUAAUUAAAAUUUAAUAUAGUUAUUUAUUUGUAAAGUUAUAUUGUGUCAUAUUCUUUCUUUGUUAUUUUAUAUCACUUUCCAAGUAGAGAUUACUAAGCAGCAGAGAAUUAGAAUAUUCAUCAUACAGUAUGCAUAUCCCAAUGGAGUUAGCCAUAGGGGAAAGGAUGAGUUCAACAAAUUGGGCCCAGAGUUUAAUAUUUUUUACAUGUAGGAUUUGGAAACUUGACCUGGAUCUAUCUGGUAGUAAGCCACCACUUUACUAUAUAGCCAUCCAACCAAUUAUUAUAUCAUAUUCUACUAUGUUUGACUGUACAGCACAAUACGAAAAUGUGAGGAAUAUGAUUUUAUUAGUUUCCCUAAGGAUAGCAAAUAUCAAGAUAAAUGGAUUUUGUUUAUACUUAGGUAUUGUGGAUACUACAAUAUACAUGC
rnacentral:lncRNA from 1 species